rnacentral:rRNA from 1 species
GACGAACCGUGCGAACGUUGUUCGGAAUCACUGGGCUUAAAGGGCGCGUAGGCGGCUUCCCAAGCCCGGGGUGAAAUCUUUCGGCUUAACCGGAAAAGGGCCUCGGGGACUGGGGGGUUAGAGGGAGGUAGGGGCAAGCGGAACUUCCGGUGGAGCGGUGAAAUGCGUAGAGAUCGGAAAGAACACCAACGGCGAAAGCACUCUGCUGGGCCGACACUGACACUGAGAGACGAAAGCUAGGGGAGCGAAUGGG